GUUUUUAAAUUGUUUUGAACUUCUCUGUGAAAGUAUUUCUGAAGGAAAAUGGAGAAAACUUACAUGGCCAAGGCUCAGCCUUUCCUGCAGCAUUUCUUAGCUAGAGGACAAGGCCUCCUGUCUGCAGAGGACUUUGGCCGGGCUUUCUGUAAUAAUGCUGCCUCUCGUCAGAAGGCACUUUGGUGCUUUGAGUUACUUGGACAUCUCCUGUUAAGUAGUCACUCAGACACCCCUGAGAAUUACUCUGCUAAUCUCAUUUCUUACUGCUGGGUGCCUAUGGAAAUAUGGUCAGGUCCUUAUCACCAAAUGUACUGCACUUGGAUAAUGAAAGGGCAUUAUUCAUCUGUUCUACAGCAAGUGGGAGCUGGCUGUCCAGGAGAGCAGUAGAGAGCUAGAAAUUCACUUGGAGCUCUUUUGGCUGUAUCUGGUACUGCCUGCAAGCAGGAGUAGCAUUCACAAGCCUCCUGCCCUCAGUUUUUGAUUGAGCUCCUGAGUAAUGGCCAAGAGGUGGAAGAUUUUUCUUUUGGGGACAUUCACCUUGAGAGUUAGGACAACCACCAAAAUGUUUCUUUUAUUAAACACCUCUAGUGCUACUUCUGUCUUUUCUGGGAUUGGAUGGUGUACCCCUGAGAAGAACAGCAAAUCUUAAGGUCCUUUAAACCAGUAAGGGGGAAGCAGGAAAACAAUGCAGCUUGUUUUGUACUGUUGACAUAAAUUUCAAGGACUAUUCUCUUCAUUUGGCUUUUGCCUUUCUCAUCAGGAAAACAUGAUCACGAGUUAUCCCAGUGAAUGCAGAAGUGGUGGGUGUUUGUCUGUGUCUCCUUCUCCAGUGAACUCUGCCUGUUCUCUGGCUGCCCAGACUCAGCACUGCUAUGGAGGCUGUUCCCCUGCCAGCACAAGCAAGGGAGGUGCUUCUGCAGCCUGUGGAUGACUGGGGGGGAUGCUUUUGUGAUGUGGGGGCUGCUUUGUCUCUUGGGAGGAGCUGAGGAAGCAGGGGGCUGGGAAGAGAGGAGCCAACACCACGUGCAUCUGGGGCAGCCUGAUGACUAUUGCCCUAAAGCAUCCAGUUUGGGAUGUGUGGGUGCCAAGAGUGGACUUCAUGUGGGAGAAGACAUUCUGGAUCUGUUCAGGUUUGCUCUCUCUGUCACAGUGCUGUCUGCAGGACAUUUCCAACCCUGCAAAGGGAGCCACACUGCUUCACAAGGC